rnacentral:tRNA from 1 species
UUUUUGGUAGCUUAAUGGUCGAGCUUGCGGCUGUUAACCGCCAGGUUACUGGUUCAACUCCAGUCCAAAGCG